GGGUUGUGAGGUUAAGCGACUAAGCGUACACGGUGGAUGCCCUGGCAGUCAGAGGCGAUGAAGGGCGUGCUAAUCUGCGAUAAGCGCCGGUAAGGUGAUAUGAACCGUUAUAACCGGCGAUACCCGAAUGGGGAAACCCAGUGUGACUCGUCACACUAUCAUUAACUGAAUCCAUAGGUUAAUGAGGCGAACCGGGGGAACUGAAACAUCUAAGUACCCCGAGGAAAAGAAAUCAACCGAGAUUCCCCCAGUAGCGGCGAGCGAACGGGGAGGAGCCCAGAGCCUGAAUCAGCAUGUGUGUUAGUGGAAGCGUCUGGAAAGGCGCGCGAUACAGGGUGACAGCCCCGUACACAAAAGCGCAUGUGCUGUGAGCUCGAUGAGUAGGGCGGGACACGUGGUAUCCUGUCUGAAUAUGGGGGGACCAUCCUCCAAGGCUAAAUACUCCUGACUGACCGAUAGUGAACCAGUACCGUGAGGGAAAGGCGAAAAGAACCCCGGCGAGGGGAGUGAAAAAGAACCUGAAACCGUGUACGUACAAGCAGUGGGAGCACAGGUUUACCUGUGUGACUGCGUACCUUUUGUAUAAUGGGUCAGCGACUUAUAUUCUGUAGCAAGGUUAACCGUAUAGGGGAGCCGUAGGGAAACCGAGUCUUAACCGGGCGUUAAGUUGCAGGGUAUAGACCCGAAACCCGGUGAUCUAGCCAUGGGCAGGUUGAAGGUUGGGUAACACUAACUGGAGGACCGAACCGACUAAUGUUGAAAAAUUAGCGGAUGACCUGUGGCUGGGGGUGAAAGGCCAAUCAAACCGGGAGAUAGCUGGUUCUCCCCGAAAGCUAUUUAGGUAGCGCCUCGUGAAUUCAUCUCCGGGGGUAGAGCACUGUUUCGGCUAGGGGGCCAUCCCGGCUUACCAACCCGAUGCAAACUGCGAAUACCGGAGAAUGUUAUCACGGGAGACACACGGCGGGUGCUAACGUCCGUCGUGAAGAGGGAAACAACCCAGACCGCCAGCUAAGGUCCCAAAGUCAUGGUUAAGUGGGAAACGAUGUGGGAAGGCCCAGACAGCCAGGAUGUUGGCUUAGAAGCAGCCAUCAUUUAAAGAAAGCGUAAUAGCUCACUGGUCGAGUCGGCCUGCGCGGAAGAUGUAACGGGGCUAAACCAUGCACCGAAGCUGCGGCAGCGACGCUGAUGCGUUGUUGGGUAGGGGAGCGUUCUGUAAGCCUGUGAAGGUGGCCUGUGAGGGUUGCUGGAGGUAUCAGAAGUGCGAAUGCUGACAUAAGUAACGAUAAAGCGGGUGAAAAGCCCGCUCGCCGGAAGACCAAGGGUUCCUGUCCAACGUUAAUCGGGGCAGGGUGAGUCGACCCCUAAGGCGAGGCCGAAAGGCGUAGUCGAUGGGAAACGGGUUAAUAUUCCCGUACUUGGUGUUACUGCGAAGGGGGGACGGAGAAGGCUAUGUUGGCCGGGCGACGGUUGUCCCGGUUUAAGCGUGUAGGUGUGUGUUCCAGGUAAAUCCGGUUCACUUUAACACUGAGGCGUGAUGACGAGGCACUACGGUGCUGAAGCAACAAAUGCCCUGCUUCCAGGAAAAGCCUCUAAGCAUCAGGUAACAUCAAAUCGUACCCCAAACCGACACAGGUGGUCAGGUAGAGAAUACCAAGGCGCUUGAGAGAACUCGGGUGAAGGAACUAGGCAAAAUGGUGCCGUAACUUCGGGAGAAGGCACGCUGACACGUAGGUGAAGUGAUUUACUCAUGGAGCUGAAGUCAGUCGAAGAUACCAGCUGGCUGCAACUGUUUAUUAAAAACACAGCACUGUGCAAACACGAAAGUGGACGUAUACGGUGUGACGCCUGCCCGGUGCCGGAAGGUUAAUUGAUGGGGUCAGCGCAAGCGAAGCUCCUGAUCGAAGCCCCGGUAAACGGCGGCCGUAACUAUAACGGUCCUAAGGUAGCGAAAUUCCUUGUCGGGUAAGUUCCGACCUGCACGAAUGGCGUAAUGAUGGCCAGGCUGUCUCCACCCGAGACUCAGUGAAAUUGAACUCGCUGUGAAGAUGCAGUGUACCCGCGGCAAGACGGAAAGACCCCGUGAACCUUUACUAUAGCUUGACACUGAACAUUGAGCCUUGAUGUGUAGGAUAGGUGGGAGGCUUUGAAGCGUGGACGCCAGUCUGCAUGGAGCCGGCCUUGAAAUACCACCCUUUAAUGUUUGAUGUUCUAACGUGGACCCGUGAUCCGGGUUGCGGACAGUGUCUGGUGGGUAGUUUGACUGGGGCGGUCUCCUCCUAAAGAGUAACGGAGGAGCACGAAGGUUGGCUAAUCCUGGUCGGACAUCAGGAGGUUAGUGCAAUGGCAUAAGCCAGCUUGACUGCGAGCGUGACGGCGCGAGCAGGUGCGAAAGCAGGUCAUAGUGAUCCGGUGGUUCUGAAUGGAAGGGCCAUCGCUCAACGGAUAAAAGGUACUCCGGGGAUAACAGGCUGAUACCGCCCAAGAGUUCAUAUCGACGGCGGUGUUUGGCACCUCGAUGUCGGCUCAUCACAUCCUGGGGCUGAAGUAGGUCCCAAGGGUAUGGCUGUUCGCCAUUUAAAGUGGUACGCGAGCUGGGUUUAGAACGUCGUGAGACAGUUCGGUCCCUAUCUGCCGUGGGCGCUGGAGAACUGAGGGGGGCUGCUCCUAGUACGAGAGGACCGGAGUGGACGCAUCACUGGUGUUCGGGUUGUCAUGCCAAUGGCACUGCCCGGUAGCUAAAUGCGGAAGAGAUAAGUGCUGAAAGCAUCUAAGCACGAAACUUGCCCCGAGAUGAGUUCUCCCUGAGACUUAGAGUCUCCUGAAGGAACGUUGAAGACGACGACGUUGAUAGGCCGGGUGUGUAAGCGCAGCGAUGCGUUGAGCUAACCGGUACUAAUGAACCGUGAGGCUUAACCUUACAACGCCGAAG
rnacentral:rRNA from 8 species